rnacentral:piRNA from 1 species
UUCCAUGUCUGCUGUUUCACAACUA